rnacentral:misc_RNA from 1 species
UCUCCGUAGGUGAACCUGCGGAGGGAUCAUUACAGAGUUCAUGCCCUCCGGGUAGAACUCCCACCCAUUGCUAUAACUACUCUCGUUGCUUUGGCGGGCCGCUGGGCCCUGCCCGGCCGCCGGCCCCGGCUGGCGCGUGCCCGCCAGAGACCUCACAAACUCUGAAUGUUAGUGUCGUCCGAGUAACUAUACAAUCGUUAAAACUUUCAACAACGGAUCUCUUGGUUCUG